GGGGGAUUAGCUCAUCUGGCUAGAGCGCAACACUGGCAGUGUUGAGGUGGUCGGUUCGAUCCCGAUAUCCUCCAC
rnacentral:tRNA from 1 species